AAACAUUAAUGCAGUAUAGUGCAACAUCAAAGGUAGUAUAAUUAAAAAUUAAUAUAGUACAGUGUAGCACUAAACGUUGUACCAAUAUUAUUAUAAUAUAAUGUUAAUGCAAUACAGUAUAAUACAAUAUAUCUGCAUUAAAAUAAUAUAAUACAACAUAAUACAAUAUAAUAUGCCGAACGCAAUCUUAGAGUUUAAUCUUGACAGUUGACAUUAUUUUUUGUAUAAAUUUUAUUAUUCUUGCGUUGGGUUAGGCUAUAUGGGUUCACUAAUAUGAACUCAGCCACACCCAAACAUUAAUAAGAUUGAAAACAAAGAUUGAACCAAGGGCAAUACUAUCGUCAGUUGCCUUUAGGAGCGACUGACAUAGUUGCUGCUCGACAGGGGGACACGUGACCCUCUUUUUUUUCGGUUCCCAUACAAUUCGUGAUUAAGUAAACCCAUAUUCUUUAUGCUUAAUUAUAUAUUAUCAUUUCUUUCAGUUUUUCUGAAAAAUUAAAAUUUAUUUAAGAGUUUAAAUUGACUAUAAUAUUUGUUUAACAUGACAAUAACACCUAACGUAAAUGUUUCUUCCUCAAAAUUUUAUUUUUCAGAGAUAA
rnacentral:lncRNA from 1 species